rnacentral:rRNA from 1 species
AACGUAGGGGGCCAGCGUUGCUCGGAAUUACUGGGCGUAAAGGGUCCGUAGGCGGUGCGGUAAGUCGGGAGUGAAAUCUCUGGGCUUAACUCAGAGGCUGCUUCCGAAACUACCGUGCUAGAGUGCGAGAGAGGCAGGUGGAAUUGCGGGUGUAGCGGUGAAAUGCGUAGAUAUCGGGAGGAACACCAGUGGCGAAGGCGGCCUUCUGGACCAGUACUGACGCUCAUGCACGAAAGCGUGGGGAGCAAACAGG